GCAUGGUGAUGAUGAAUUUGAAAUUGUCCGAUUCAUUUCAUGACAGGAUUAAUAAUACCUCCUACUCAUACUGA